rfam:Vibrio cholerae O1 biovar eltor str. N16961 chromosome I, complete sequence.
GCGGAAGUGGCGAAAUUGGUAGACGCACCAGAUUUAGGUUCUGGCGCCGCGAGGCGUAAGAGUUCAAGUCUCUUCUUCCGCA